UUUAUCUCACUUUUUUAAGCUUUAAAAAAUCAAAAAUUUGGGGAAAUGUUUAGUAUCGCGCCGGUUUAGUAUCGUUUAUGGAGAUAAACAGAGGGGGGCCUACCGCCCUCACGCCCCCUUAUCGGAAAGAGGAAGGUUCGAACUUUUAAAUAAACCCCCCCUCGACCCCCUAGAGCCACUAUAGACCUGUAGGGAGCCCUUUGGUGUUUUUGCUCAUUUUUCCAUACAAACUGAAACCAAUGCAACCCAGCCAACAUUUUUGUAUGGACAAUAAUUCAAAAUAAGGAAACCGAAAAUGUUUCAGUGCAAUGUAUAUACAUAUUUAAUUGCAUCUAUUAAUGGUACAAAUUAUCUAUUAAUGCUACAAAAAAUAACCCUGGUCGGUCCAGGUGUAUCAGAUUUUUUUCGCAUAGAACACCUUUUCGUGUUGGCGGCCUUCGGCCGCGCUUCAAAAAAAAUAACACUGGUCGGUCCAACACCCGGGUGUAUCAGAUUUUUUUCGCAUAGAACUCCUUUUUGCGUGGGCGGCCUUCGGCCGCGCUUCAAAAAAAAUAACCCUGGUCGGUCCAACACCGGGGUGUAUCAGAUUUUUUUCGCAUAGAACUCCUUUUUGCGUUGGCGGCUUUCGGCCGCGCUUCAAAAAAAAUAUCCUUGGUCGGUCCAACACCCGGGUGUAUCAGAUUUUUUUCGCAUAGAACACCUUUUGGCGUUUGCGGCCUUCGGCCGCGCUUUAAAAAAAUAACCCUGGCCGGUCCAACACCGGCUACGCCAUCCACAGUAUUUUAGCAUUGAACACCUUUUCGCGUUCACUUCAUACAUUUAUUGCUAACUGGGUUUAAUUUAUUCCCUUUUGUUCGUGCUUUCUCGGUAAUUUGACAAUUGAAAUUAGGCAGUACUUUUGGUUUUUCGCAUUAUUGAACUCAAUGCAGAAAAAGGUGUAUUUUAUUUAAAGAUUUACAAAGAAAUUAACAAUCAAAAGUAAUUAAAAACAUUACUAGUGGUUUUUAUAAUUCAUAAGUAAUAUAUGUGCGUGAAAAUGUAUCCAUAAUUGGUUUGGUACAAUGCACAACAGCAUACAUUCGUGUUUAAAAUUAACCGGCGGGAUACUAAACCCAACCCAAAAUUUGAACUUUUUAGACGACAAUAGCUAUUGGAAAACUAUGGAUGAAUUGAAUAAAAGUCUUACAAUUAUCUUAUCGAACCAUCGCAGAAAUUAUCAAAAUGUGCCUAAGUGUUUGGAAUGGAGGACUAAUGUUCUUGACUAUUUAGACGAAGGACGUUACCAACAAAUGCUCCGAGUCUCUAGAGAUCAAUUUGCGUCGCUAUUGUCCUUGAUCAAAGAUAGUGCACAGUUUAACAAUGCUCAAUCCACUAGGCAAUUUUCAGUAGAACUACAGUUAGCUAUAACCUUAUAUCGUUUGGAUUCAUCGGGUGAAAGUGCGGCGAUUCGGAAAGAAGCUACAAUGUUGGGUGUAGGAGACAACUUUUUGUCAACUUUGGAGUUAAAAUCUAGAUAUAUCACUUGGCCUGAUACCAAUGAAAGACAAGAUAUCGUCAAAACAACGUACAAUGAGCUGCCGCAUUGUAUAGGGUAUAUUGAUGGUACAGAAUUGAAACUUGCAGAAGCACCAGUUGUUAACCAUUCGGCUUAUUUUUCAAAAAGCCGAAUCUAUUCCAUAAAGGCACAAGUUGUAUGCGAUUGCCAGUUAAGGAUUCGGCAUGUAGUAGCGGGACACUUUGGUAGUGUACACGAUUCUCGCAUGUUUCGUACUAGUGCUCUCUCCACUCAAGAAGGCUCACUUUUUUCUUCUCAAUGGUUAGCAGGAGAUUCUGCUUAUCCAUUGCUGAGCACUCUUAUCACGCCAUUUCGAACAAAUUCACAACAAAUGGACUAUUCAAAGCGUAAAGCAUUCAACUUGCGUCAUAGCAGAUAUCGCGUGAGGAUAGAACAUUGCUUUGGGAUUCUAAAAGAACGCUUUGGCAGCCUCAAAGAAUUAAGAAUACGUAUUCAGGAUGAACAAAAUCAUAUUCUAUGUUCCAACUGGAUUAUUGUUUGCUGUAUAUUGCAUAACAUCUUCCGAGCUACUUCUAAUGAUAUUGAUCGAUAAUGAUAACGACGAAGAAUCAGAUGAAUUUCCUUCACAUGAAAAUGGCCGGCGAAUAACUGAGGCAGAAGCCAAGCGCAUAUCUUUGUACACAAUAAUGUUUGGUGUUCAGUAAAACGAUGGCUGGCAGAAAAAAAGCGUUCAGGGUGGACUUUAAAGAAUGAGUUGGAGCUGCUGGAAAAGUGGGAGGCAUGUUCCCACGACCUCCGGCGUGCAAAGCGAAAAGAUCACUUAAAGACUUGGGCCUGCCUUUUCGUUUUUCGCUUUGUAAAGAUGCUGUACCUCUAAAACGUUGAAUAAUACUCCGUAUGGUAUAUCGGCUUCUGUCCACCAUUUCACCAACCUCAGCUAAAUCGUACGCGUACGCCCUGAUUAUGCAAAUAUAAUAUUAUUUUCCGUUGAGAUUCGUUGGUUUCACAUUUUUUGCUGCCCAUUUUAAUAAAAUUGAAGCAAAUUUAACUAUAAAAUAAACGCACACUGAGUUUUGAAGUUUGAUUCUUUACAACAACACAUUUGCUUAUGUAUAAUUAACGGUACUUUAAAAAAGAGUAGCCAUAAAUAAUAAAAAUCAAACUAAGUUGCCUGAUUUUAUAGGGUGUGCCAAUACUUUUGUUUCGCUAUAAUUAGUACUUUUUUUCUUUUAUAAUUACUAUUAAAUAAAUAUAUGAGAUAAUUAAAUGAAUUAAAGGAAAUAUAAUUGAUAAUUACUUGUCCUAACUAAGGAUUUUACUUUGGUAUACAAAACAUAUUUUAUAAGUGGUAAACAAGAGUGCUAAAGUCAAGGUAUCUUGCUGUACAAAUACACCGCCGAGGAAAUUCACUGCAACGUGAAACACAUGACAAAGAAAUACAGAGAGGAGAAAACCAAAAUUGGCCCUUCUGGUGGUAGUCCCUCGCCUUGGAGGCAUUAUAAUGCUGUGCAUCGCAUAGUAGGGCGUACUGCCGUUAAUACGGCUUUGUACAUAGAGAUAUAUUCCGAGGGAUGGGCACCAUCACAAUCAAACAAGCAUCACAAAAUGAGAUUGUGUUAGUGCGCUUACUGUGGGACCAAGCGUACCAGCAACCAAAAAUAAUCAGUCUGCUUGCAGAUGUCGAACGAGCAGGUCUAUGUCGCACGAAGCCGCAAUGCUACGAAUACGUAUGUAUAUACAUAUGCACAUUUUUAAGAAUAUGUGCAUAAACCAUUGAAUAUAAAAUAUAAUUAUUUUUCUUUUCAAGCAAGAAUAAAAUUUAAGUUAUUAGUUAAUUAUAAAUUAGUAAUCUAAUUCAUUUAAAAACUUAAAAAUAAAUUAAAUUUGUAUAUGAAAAGAAAAUAUAAAUCUAUAUUUGAAUUCAUCGAAUAUUUUAAAUAUAUAACGAAACUUCAAUAAAGUUAAAGCUAUUAGAAAAUGAAAGCUAUUAUAAUAUGAAAUAUUAUGAAUACACAUUUCAAGAGGUCAGUUAAUUUCAAACAAUUAUCCGAGUGUCAAAAAAAAAAAGUUCAUUCUGUAAUAAAUUUAAGAAGGUCGUCAUAAUUUAUAUCAAAAUUUGCUACCUUUAUUCUAAGCAGGUCUUCUAAAUGUUUGUCUGAAAGCCUUGUUCUAUAGGAAUUCUUUAUGUAUACCAUAGCAGAAAACGCAGAUUCGCAAAUAUCGGGUGAUUUUUUAAGAGCUUGAUAACUUUUUAAAAAAAAAAAACGCAUAAAAUUUGCAAAAUCUCAUCGGUUCUUUAUUUGAAACGUUAGAUUGGUUCAUGACAUUUACUUUUUGAAGAUAAUUUCAUUUAAAUGUUGACUCAUGUGGUUUCAACAAGAUGGCGCUACAUGCCACACAGCUCGCGAUUCUAUGGCCAUUUUGAGGGAAAACUUCGGAGAACAAUUCAUCUCAAGAAAUGGACCCGUAAGUUGGCCACCAAGAUCAUGCGAUUUAACGCCUUUAGACUAUUUUUUGUGGGGCUACGUCAAGUCUAAAGUCUACAGAAAUAAGCCAGCAACUAUUCCAGCUUUGGAAGACAACAUUUCCGAAGAAAUUCGGGCUAUUCCGGCCGAAAUGCUCGAAAAAGUUGCCCAAAAUUGGACUUUCCGAAUGGACCACCUAAGACGCAGCCGCGGUCAACAUUUAAAUGAAAUUAUCUUCAAAAAGUAAAUGUCAUGAACCAAUCUAACGUUUCAAAUAAAGAACCGAUGAGAUUUUGCAAA